CGCUGGCCGGCUGGGAGCUCGGCCACCUGUUGGGCCAGAACAAGUGCAGCCAUGAAAGUCACCCAAGUCCCUCUUCCUCCAGCAGCAAAUAGCAGCUUGCAGAUGCCACAGGUGCCAGCUGAGGCCCAGUGAGAAUCUGAAUCUGAACAUCACCGGGGAAACCCAGAAUCAAGUCACUGGAUCAAUACUUGCUCAACACCCACUGUCAAGGCCUCAAAGGCUAAAGAAGAAAAAGGAUCACAUGAUCAUAUCAACAGAUGCAGAAAAAGCAUUUGACAAAAUCCAACACUCAUUCAAGAUUAAAGCUUCCAGCAAAUCAUUAAGAGGGGUACUUCCUCAACUUAAAAAACAUCUACAAAAAAACUACAGCUAACAUCAUACUUAACAGUGAUAAACUUGAAGCUUUCCUGCUAACAUCAAGAACAAGGCAAGGAUCUCCCCUCUCACUAGUCCUUUUCAACAUUUCGCUGCAAGUCCUGGCUAACGCAAUAAGACAAGAAAUGGGAGUAAAAGUUAUACAGAUUGGGAAGGAAGAAAUAAAACUGUAUUCACACAUGACACAAUUUUCUCUGUAGAAAAUCUGAAAGGACCAACAACAACGAAAGCUCUUGGAAUUAAUGGGCAAUUUUAGAAAAGCUGUAGGAUACAAAGGUAAUACAUAAAAUCCAAAAGUUUUCCUGUACACCAGCAACAAACGAGUGGAACUGAAGUUAAAAACAUAUCAUCAUUUACAUUAGCAGCCCCCCAGAUCUAUAUGAGGAAAACUACAAAAUUCUGAUGAAAGAAAUCAAAGAACCAAAUAAAUAGGAAGGUGUCCAUGUAUCAAGAUGUCGUGUGUGCUAAGUCACCCAGUCAUGAUCAACUCUUUGUGACCCUACGAACUGUAGCCUGCCAGGCUCCUCUGUCCAUGGGAUUCUCCAGGCAAGAAUAUUGGAGUGGAUUGCCAUGCCCUCCUCCAGGGGAUCUUCUCUACCCAGGGAUUGAACCGGCACCUCUUAUGUCUCCUGCAUUGACUGGUGGAUUCUUUUACCACUAGCGCCAACCUGGGAAGCCCAGCAAGAUGUCAGUUCUUAACUCGAUCUUCAGAUUCAACGUGAUCCAAAUCAAAAUGGCAGCAAAUUAUUUUAUGGAUAUUGAUAAGCUGAUUCUAAAGUUUAUUUAGAGAGGCAAAAGACCCAGAAUAGCCAACUCAGUAUUGAAGGAGAAGAACAAAAUCAGAGGACUGACUUAACCCAAUUUCAAGACUUAUUAUAAAGCUAUAGUAAUCAAGACUAUAAUAAUAGCAAAAGAACAGACAACUAGAUCAAUGGAACAGAAUAGAAAGCUCAGAAACAUACUCACAUAAAUAUAGUUAACUGAUCUUUAACAAAGGAGCAAAGGUAAUACAAAGGAACAGAGGAAAUCUUUUCAACAAAUGGUGCUGGAACAGCUGGGCAUCUAUAUGCAAAGGAAGCAUCCAGACAUAGAUCUUACAUCCUGAAAAAUUAACUCACAAUGGAUGAUAGACCUAAAUACAAAGAGCAAAACAGUAAAGAUUCUUGAAGAUGAUAUCAGAGAAAAUCUA
ensembl:lncRNA